AUGAUAUUUAAUUAUGGUAUAAUAUAUGUAUAUGUUUUUAAAAUUUAUAUGAAUUUUGGUUUAAAUUUUAUUUUAGUAGUAUAUAAUUUUAAUUAUUAAAAAAAUUUAGAAUUAGUAAUAAAUUUUAGUAUUUGCUUAUUUUGUGCCAGCAGCAGCGGUUAUACAAAAGAUAUAAUACAUAUAUAUUAGUUUUAAUUAAUAGAUUUAUAAUUAGUAAAUUAAAAUUUAAAUUUUAAGGUGAAAUUUUAAUUUAAAAUUAAUUUAUAUUUAAUAAAUAUGAGGUUAGGAAUUUUUUUUUUAAACUAGGAUUAGAUACCCUAUUAUUUUAAAUGUAAAUUAUUAAGCUAAGUGAUUAAUAGUUAUGUUCUUUAAAGCUAAAUAAUUUGGCGGUAGUUUAAACUUUUCAGAGGAACCUGUUCUAUAAACGAUACUCCACGAUUAAAUUAACUUUGAUUAGAAAUUUUUAUAUCAUUGUUGUUAAAUAUUUUAUUAGAAUAUAAUAUUUAAAAUUUCUUAAUAAAGAAAAAAAUCAAAUCAAGGUGAAGUUUAUAUUAAAGAAGAAAUGGGUUACAUUAAAUUUUAUUUAUGAAUUAUUGUUUUGAAAAAACUUAUGAAAUUGGAUUUGAAGGUAAUUAAAUGAUAUUUAUAUUUAAUGAUUAAGCUCUAAAUUAUGCACAUAUUGCCCGUCGCUUUCACUUUUAAUGGAAUAAGUCGUAACAUAGUAGAUUUACUGGAAAGUGAUUCUAGAAAGAU
rnacentral:ncRNA from 1 species